ACUAUAGUGACCUUUUUUUUAUUGAGCCUAUUUAAUUAGUUUGAGUUUUUUGUAUUUGUUCGUGUUUUUCAAUAAUUUAUUGGGAUUGACAUUGGUAAGGUAUCUGUAAUUUAAGUUUUUAACCUAACAAAGACUGCACCUCAGUUUAGUUUCUGUUAUAGUGAAACAUGCUUUAUGUCUUUUCGUAGGAACUGAGGCAUCCUUAGCUGGAAUACUUACUCAUUCACAAUGAAUAAUUUUUAUAAUAUAUAUGAGAAAAUGCUUCCGUGGAUAAACACAUCAAAGAUGGUAUUUUUUGUAUGCAGUUACUGUAAUAAUCAAUUUUCUUUCUCUCGCUAUGUCUUCCAUUCCCUGUGAUUCAAAAACACCGAGUAUAAGUGUUUCAAGUGCUUUUGGUGUCAAAGUAUGCAGCCAGUGAUUGUGACCUAUUCUUGAUAGGCUGACGAUGGACACAUUGUGUGAUAUGCAUUAUUGGCUGACCUGGAGUCAACCACUUCCCACAUUUCAAAGCGACCCGUGUUUCUGCCAGACGAGACCCCUUACUCCAUUCCCACCACUGGGAAUUAUUUCCAGGAUCAAUCACUUCCACCUCCACUCCCUCCUCCGCCUACAGCUGAGGCCCUGAAUGGUUCGCUGCAAGACCACUCCCAUCACUCCUCACAUCAGAUUUGGGAGUGCGAUGGCGCGGACGCAUACGCACCCGUCAAAUCACAGUGACUGAAGAAAUCAUUUUAUAUAUUCAAACAAUGGAAUCGAAUCUCUCACUUAAUUUGUUUUAAUCCCUGCAUGAUGUUACCAUGGCUUCUCAUGAGAGAAGUCUUAAAGAUACCCAAGUCAUUGUUUUUGAGUCUUGUUCAUAUAAAUAGUUUUAAAAUGGCUGCAGUCUUUAGGUUCGGCCCAGAAGAGCUCCUGGUCGAGGGACAGUAGCAGCUCUCCAUCUCACAUUGAAGAGGACCACGUCUACAGCUUUCCAGACAAACAAAAAUCAUCUGACACGUCAACAGCACCCAUGACCUCUGCCCUAGGCACCAACUUGUCGGAGCUUGAUAGACUGCUGCUGGAGCUUAAUGCUGUUCAACAAAGUUCCCCUUCAUUCCCAACUACCGAAGAGAGGCCUCCACCCCUACCAUCCACCAGCACCACUCACUAUGAGAAUGGGAUCAGGGUUAGCCCUUCCCCUCAGGAGGAGCCCAAGCAUAAUGGAACAAGGCAGGAUGAGGUCCGCCCCACGGUGGAGAGUCUUUUAGACGAGCUGGAGGGUUCAGUACCUUCAACCAGUCCUUCCCCUCACCUCAGUGAUUUGGACAGCCCCUCUCAACAGCAAGCACGGAUUUCAGCUUCAUGUGCCACAAGAGAGUUAGAUGAGUUGAUGGCCUCUUUGUCUGACUUCAAGCCUGGCUCUUCUUCCACCUCUCCUCAUCCUCCAGUCUCUACAUUCACCCCCCCAGUGACUUCUCCUUUCCUCAGUCUGUCCCCCCCAUCUACCUGUGCCUCUCCUAUGUUCUCUUUGCCUCCUGGUCUAGAACUGCACAUAGAUGAAGACGGAAUGGAUAGAAGCUUGUCAACUGCCUUUCGGAAUCAUCUUGCUUGCCAUAGUCCUCUAUCGCCCGUUUCUGGAGCCAGUGAUCUCGACUCCAUCGCAGAUGUAUUUGCCACUGUUCCACCAUCCCCUAACAAUUCCCUGCUUAUCCUCAAUGCUUCCGUAAGGAGCAACCAGAAGAGAAAUAGUUCAAGCCCAUCCAGUACUCCAUCAAUGACUUCAGUAAACACUGUCUUGGAUCACAAGACCUCCAAUUCACCUAGUCCAUCUGUGGAGCGUCUUUCAUCCUCAGCACCUGCUUGUAAAGUAUCAUGUUCACCUGACACUAUGAUCACUGACUCUUUUUCCAUCCAAGAUCCUAGUUCGAAUCUCUCUGUGUCAAAGACUCCGUCACCUCUCCCUUCUACUUCUGUAAUAUCAUCACCCCAUACCAGUAACUCCCUCAAAACCUCCUCCCUGGUCUCUCUGGCCAACAUUCCUUCACCAAUGGCUGUCCCAAGCUCUUUGAUUCCCAAUGGAGCUCUGUUGCAGCCAGUAGCCACAGCCAAGUGUGCCAGCCCCCCCAUUUUGCAUCUACUCCCUGUCGAAGAACCCUCCCUACAGGAAGUGCUGGACAAGCUGCUAGAAAUGAGUUUUUCACAGAGUCAAUCAGCGACCCAGAUGAAAGCUCUGCAGUUGCAUACAGAGGCGCACGGUCUCGACAGAGGAGCCCCUGAGGCGCAGGAGAUCAUCUUGCCCAUGGACAGAAACAAUGUACAGCCUGACAUGUUCACCUGCACCACCAACACCAUCACGGAUGAAUCAGUGGACGGAGGCACUGACACAAAUGGAUAUCUGGACUGGACUGAUGAGGAGCUGUCCAUGUCCUUCCACGACGGACUGGAUGGCACCCUGACGCCUUAUACUGAGAGGCUGUACACGGAUGGUAGCGUGACUCCUCUGACAGAAGCGAGCUGGAUGGACGAAUCCAUAACGCCAUCCACAUGUCCCGGGACACCCGAUGUUACCCUGGACCUGCCUUUGCUGCAGCCGCCCAAUAUGGACAGAAUGUCUACCUCCGGACACGUAGGCAUCUCUCUUGCUCAAUGCAGGACAUCGUUGUGUUUCUCCCAUGUAACUUUGUUUGCUUAUUGGAGUGAUGCGUCACUAUCAGUUGGGGCCUGCUGCUGCAUCCUACGUUUGUCACUUGAAAAGAAUGAAACAUCCCAUUGAGCACAUUUUCCCACAUUUAUAAAUGCCUCAGUGUUGACAUUAGGCUGUUAACAUAGAUUGUUUUGCUGUUCUACUUACUAUAUGUUACCAGAAAAGCUUAACUGUAAGUUGUUUGGGCUUCUAGAGGGUGUGAGAAGAAUGCAAUGGUUUGCAACCGCAUGGAGGAGUGUGACUAUUUCGCCCCUUCCCCAACUACUGCAUCCUUGCCUGUGGGUGAUUGGAAAGGUCAUCAUGUGACUCGUCUGCUCACUUUGUUGAUACUGGUCCCAACUGAGCCGUGGUUAUUAUGGAUUGAUGAUGAACUGCUCACCAUUCCUGUCUAGAUCAAGUCAGUGAUAAGGCGCACUAAGGAGAUCCCCAAUGUGCACCCUAUGUAUCGAGAUGGUCACCCACGCAAGAAAAUGGGCCCUGUCAUUGUAAACAAAAAUUCCUCCCAGGACCGCCUCAUUGAGGAGCUUCAGGGCAAGUUUGGCAUCAGCCGCUCUGAGCACCAGCGUAAACAGUCAGAUGAGUGGCUGACGGACGGGGUUAUUGUCACGUCCAAGUCUCAACGCUUCCGUCCUGAUGGAGUGGCUGGUGAGGUGGACAAGGUUGGCUGCAGUGUUCUCAACGUUCCCUCAGUUGAUUGACCUUCAGUGUCUAUACUGUUUCUCUUUGUAUGCUUCCUUUUGUGUGUCUCCUUCCACUUUAGAUUGUAAUUGCGCCCGGUUCACCUGCUCCCGUGAGAAGGGUUCUCCCACCUCAGUCACCUCCCUCUCCUCAUCAUCUUCCUAUCAUUGAAGAACCCCAGCAAAUACUUCCAGUACAGCAGCCUCCUGCUUCUAUACCACCACUCCCUCUGCCUCCCUCUCCCCAUCCUCAGCCUCCUCACAGCCAAGGGCAAGUCACAGCAUCACCUCAAGUCCCCUCUGGAUAUUCAUACAACUCCAACCAAGCCUUCACGUGUGGACAGUGUUCCAACAGUUGCACCCAAAGUCCUGGUAUCGAUAGGCUGCCAAACUGAGUAUGACCCACUCUUCUCCUCAGUGCAG